rnacentral:rRNA from 1 species
GUGGGGAAUUUUGGACAAUGGGGGCAACCCUGAUCCAGCCAUUCCGCGUGAGUGAAGAAGGCCUUCGGGUUGUAAAGCUCUUUCGUCAGGAACGAAACGGCGGGCUCUAACAUAGCCUGUUAAUGACGGUACCUGAAGAAGAAGCACCGGCUAACUACGUGCCAGCAGCCGCGGUAAUACGUAGGGUGCGAGCGUUAAUCGGAAUUACUGGGCGUAAAGCGUGCGCAGGCGGAUUGUUAAGCAAGACGUGAAAUCCCCGGGCUUAACCUGGGAAUGGCGUUUUGAACUGGCAGUCUAGAGUGCGUCAGAGGGGGGUGGAAUUCCACGUGUAGCAGUGAAAUGCGUAGAGAUGUGGAGGAACACCGAUGGCGAAGGCAGCCCCCUGGGAUGACACUGACGCUCAUGUACGAAAGCGUGGGUAGCAAACAGGAUUAGAUACCCCUGUAGUCC